GUCCACGCCGUAAACGAUGGGCACUAGGUGUCGGGGGUAUCCACUCCCUCGGUGCCGCCGCUAACGCAUUAAGUGUCCCGCCUGGGAAGUACGGUCGCAAGAUUAAAACUCAAAGGAAUUGACGGGGGCCCGCACAAGCGGUGGAGCAUGUGGUUCAAUUCGAUGCAACGCGAAGAACCUUACCUGGGUUUGACAUCUGGCGCAGACUCCUGAAAGGGAGUCGUGCCCGCAAGGGAACGCCAAGACAGGUGCUGCAUGGCUGUCGU
rnacentral:rRNA from 1 species